rnacentral:rRNA from 1 species
CACGUAGGGCGCAAGCGUUGUCCGGAAUUAUUGGGCGUAAAGGGCGCGUAGGCGGUGCGGUAAGUCACCUGUGAAAUCUCCUGGCUCAACUGGGAGCUUGCAGGCGAAACUGCCGUGCUGGAGUGUGGGAGAGGUGCGUGGAAUUCCUGGUGUAGCGGUGAAAUGCGUAGAUAUCGGGAGGAACACCAGAGGCGAAGGCGGCGACCUGGACAGGUACUGACACUCAACUACGAAAGCGUGGGGAGCAAACAGG